UCUCCGUUGGUGAACCAGCGGAGGGAUCAUUACUGAGUGAGGGCCUUCGGGCUCGACCUCCAACCCUUUGUGAACACAACUUGUUGCUUCGGGGGCGACCCUGCCUUUCGGCGCGGCGCCCCCGGAGGCCAUCAAACCCUGCGUAACUAAGUCGUCGGAGUUUAAACAAAUUAAACAAAACUUUCAACAACGGAUCUCUUGGUUCUGGCAUCGAUGAAGAACGCAGC
rnacentral:misc_RNA from 1 species